CCUACGGGAGGCUGCAGUGGGGAAUAUUGGACAAUGGGGGGAACCCUGAUCCAGCCAUGCCGCGUGUGUGAAGAAGGCCCUCGGGUUGUAAAGCACUUUCAGUGAGGAAGAACGCCUGGUGGUUAAUACCCAUCAGGAAAGACAUCACUCACAGAAGAAGCACCGGCUAACUCCGUGCCAGCAGCCGCGGUAAUACGGAGGGUGCGAGCGUUAAUCGGAAUUACUGGGCGUAAAGCGCGCGUAGGUGGCUUGAUAAGCCGGUUGUGAAAGCCCCGGGCUCAACCUGGGAACGGCAUCCGGAACUGUCAAGCUAGAGUGCAGGAGAGGAAGGUAGAAUUCCCGGUGUAGCGGUGAAAUGCAUAGAGAUCGGGAGGAAUACCAGUGGCGAAGGCGGCCUUCUGGACUGACACUGACACUGAGGUGCGAAAGCGUGGGUAGCAAACAGGAUUAGAUACCCCGGUAGUC
rnacentral:rRNA from 1 species